GACGAACGCUGGCGGCGUGCCUAACACAUGCAAGUCGAACGAAGCUGCUGAGACUGAUUUCUUCGGAUUGACGAUUCAGCAGACUUAGUGGCGGACGGGUGAGUAACACGUGAGCAACCUGCCUCUCAGAGAGGGAUAACAGUUGGAAACGAUUGAUAAUACCUCAUGACAUGUUUUUGCCGCAUGACAAAAACAUCAAAGAUUUAUCGCUGAGAGAUGGGCUCGCGGCCGAUUAGGUAGUUGGUGAGAUAACAGCCCACCAAGCCGACGAUCGGCAGCCGGACUGAGAGGUUGAUCGGCCACAUUGGGACUGAGACACGGCCCAG
rnacentral:rRNA from 1 species